GACAGGGGAGGUGCAACGUUGUCGGAUUUACUGGGCGUAAAGGGCUCGUAGGCGGCCAACUAAGUCGGACGUGAAAUCCCCAGGCUUAACUUGGGAACUGCGUCCGAUACUGGAUGGCUUGAAUCCGGGAGAGGGAUGCGGAAUUCCAGGUGUAGCGGUGAAAUGCGUAGAUAUCUGGAGGAACACCGGUGGCGAAGGCGGCAUCCUGGACCGGUAUUGACGCUGAGUGAGCGAAAGCCAGGGGAGCAAACGGG
rnacentral:rRNA from 1 species